AUACUCUGGUUUCUCUUCAGAUCGUAU
rnacentral:piRNA from 5 species